rnacentral:rRNA from 1 species
GCUGGCGGAAUGCUUUACACAUGCAAGUCGAACGGCAGCACGGACUUCGGUCUGGUGGCGAGUGGCGAACGGGUGAGUAAUAUAUCGGAACGCAUCCAAUAAUGGGGGAUAACUAAUCGAAAGGUUGGCUAAUACCGCAUACGCCCUACGGGGGAAAGCUAGGGAUCUUCGGACCUGGCGUUAAUGGAGCGGCCGAUAUCUGAUUAGCUAGUUGGUGAGGUAAAGGCUCACCAAGGCGACGAUCAGUAGCUGGUCUGAGAGGACGACCAGCCACACUGGAACUGAGACACGGUCCAGACUCCUACGGGAGGCAGCAGUGGGGAAUUUUGGACAAUGGGCGAAAGCCUGAUCCAGCCAUUCCGCGUGAGUGAAGAAGGCCUUCGGGUUGUAAAGCUCUUUCGCAAGGGAAGAAAACUUAUCCUCUAACAUAGGAUGAGGUUGACGGUACCUUGAUAAGAAGCACCGGCUAACUACGUGCCAGCAGCCGCGGUAAUACGUAGGGUGCGAGCGUUAAUCGGAAUUACUGGGCGUAAAGCGUGCGCAGGCGGUUUUGUAAGUCAGAUGUGAAAUCCCCGAGCUCAACUUGGGAACUGCGUUUGAAACUACAAGACUAGAAUAUGUCAGAGGGGGGUAGAAUUCCACGUGUAGCAGUGAAAUGCGUAGAGAUGUGGAGGAAUACCAAUGGCGAAGGCAGCCCCCUGGGAUAAUAUUGACGCUCAUGCACGAAAGCGUGGGGAGCAAACAGGAUUAGAUACCCCUGGUAGUCCACGCCCUAAACGAUGUCUACUAGUUGUUGGUGGAGUAAAAUCCAUGAGUAACGCA